rnacentral:rRNA from 1 species
UACGAAGGGGGGCUAGCGUUGCUCGGAAUCACUGGGCGUAAAGGGUGCGUAGGCGGGUCUUUUAAGUCAGGGGUGAAAUCCUGGAGCUCAACUCCAGAACUGCCUUUGAUACUGAAGAUCUUGAGUUCGGGGAGAGGUGAGUGGAACUGCGAGUGUAGAGGUGAAAUUCGUAGAUAUUCGCAAGAACCACCAGUGGCGAAGGCG